UACGAAGGUCCCGAGCGUUAUCCGGAUUUAUUGGGUUUAAAGGGUGCGUAGGCGGGAUCAUAAGUCAGUGGUGAAAACCUGCAGCUUAACUGUAGAACUGCCAUUGACACUGUGAUUCUUGAGUAUAGUUGAGGUGGGCGGAAUGUGUAGUGUAGCGGUGAAAUGCUUAGAUAUUACACAGAACACCGAUUGCGUAGGCAGCUCACUAAACUAAAACUGACGCUGAGGCACGAAAGCGUGGGGAGCAAACAGG
rnacentral:rRNA from 1 species